rnacentral:rRNA from 1 species
GUCCACGCCCUAACGAUGACGACUAGAUGUCGGAGGGUCUGCCUUUCGGUGUCGUAGCUAACGCGUUAAGUCGUCCGCCUGGGGAGUACGGCCGCAAGGUUGAAACUCAAAGGAAUUGACGGGACCCGCACAAGCGGUGGAGCAUGUGGUUCAAUUCGAUGCAACGCGAAGAACCUUACCUGGCCUUGACAUCCGCGGAACUUGGCAGAAAUGCCUUGGUGCCUUCGGGAAUCGCGAGACAGGUGCUGCAUGGCUGUCGU